rnacentral:rRNA from 1 species
CGCGUGGGCGACGAAGGCCUUCGGGUUGUAAAGCCCUGUCGAGGGGGAGAAAGACCGCAAGGCGGAUCCAUCCCUGGAGGAAGCUCGGGCUAAGUUCGUGCCAGCAGCCGCGGUAAGACGAACCGAGCGAACGUUGUUCGGAAUCACUGGGCUUAAAGGGCGCGUAGGCGGGCUGCCGCGUCCGGGGUGAAAUCCCACGGCUCAACCGUGGAACGGCCCCGGGUACGGGCGGCCUCGAGGGGGAUAGGGGCGUGCGGAACUGUGGGUGGAGCGGUGAAAUGCGUUGAUAUCCACAGGAACUCCGGUGGCGAAGGCGGCACGCUGGAUCCUCUCUGACGCUGAGGCGCGAAAGCCAGGGGAGCGAACGGGAUUAGAUACCCCGGUAGUCCUGGCCCUAAACGAUGAGAACUGGGUAGUAGCCCUGGCAUGGGGUUACUGCCGCAGCCAAAGUGCUAAGUUCUCCGCCUGGGG